rnacentral:rRNA from 1 species
UGGGGAAUAUUGCACAAUGGGCGCAAGCCUGAUGCAGCAACGCCGCGUGAGGGAUGACGGCCUUCGGGUUGUAAACCUCUUUUAGUAGGGAAGAAGCGAAAGUGACGGUACCUGCAGAAAAAGCACCGGCUAACUACGUGCCAGCAGCCGCGGUAAUACGUAGGGUGCGAGCGUUGUCCGGAAUUAUUGGGCGUAAAGAGCUCGUAGGCGGUCUGUCGCGUCUGCUGUGAAAAUCCCCGAGGCUCAACCUCGGGCCUGCAGUGGGUACGGGCAGACUAGAGUGCGGUAGGGGAGAAUGGAAUUCCUGGUGUAGCGGUGGAAUGCGCAGAUAUCAGGAGGAACACCGAUGGCGAAGGCAGUUCUCUGGGCCGUAACUGACGCUGAGGAGCGAAAGCGUGGGGAGCGAACAGGAUUAGAUACCCUGGUAGUCCACGCCGUAAACGUUGGGCGCUAGAUGUGGGGCACCAUUCCACGGUUUCCGUGUCGCAGCUAACGCAUUAAGCGCCCCGCCUGGGGAGUACGGCCGCAAGGCUAAAA